GACGAACGCUGGCGGCGUGCCUAAUACAUGCCAGUAGAACGCACAGUUUAUACCGUAGCUUGCUACACCAUAGACUGUGAGUUGCGAACGGGUGAGUAACGCGUAGGUAACCUGCCUGGUAGCGGGGGAUAACUAUUGGAAACGAUAGCUAAUACCGCAUAAUAUUGAUUAUUGCAUGAUAAUUAAUUGAAAGGUGCAAUUGCACCACUACCAGAUGGACCUGCGUUGUAUUAGCUAGUAGGUGAGGUAACGGCUCACCUAGGCGACGAUACAUAGCCGACCUGAGAGGGUGAUCGGCCACACUGGGACUGAGACACGGCCCAGACUCCUACGGGAGGCAGCAGUAGGGAAUCUUCGGCAAUGGACGAAAGUCUGACCGAGCAACGCCGCGGGAGUGAAGAAGGUUUUCGGAUCGUAAAGCUCUGUUGUAAGAGAAGAACGGGUGUGAGAGUGGAAAGUUCACACUGUGACGGUAUCUUACCAGAAUGGGACGGCUAACUACGUG
rnacentral:rRNA from 1 species